rnacentral:rRNA from 1 species
UGGUGGAGUGAUUUGUCUGGUUAAUUCCGUUAACGAACGAGACUUUGACCUGCUAACUAGACACUAGAGUUUCGGCUUUAGCUGUUUUCUUUAGAGGGACUUUGCGUGUUUAACGCAAGGAAGUUCAAAGCAAUAACA